UGGGGAAUAUUGGACAAUGGGCGCAAGCCUGAUCCAGCCAUGCCGCGUGAGUGACGAAGGCCUUAGGGUUGUAAAGCUCUUUUGGCGGGGAAGAUAAUGACGGUACCCGCAGAAUAAGCUCCGGCUAACUUCGUGCCAGCAGCCGCGGUAAUACGAAGGGAGCUAGCGUUGUUCGGAAUCACUGGGCGUAAAGCGCACGUAGGCGGACUUUCAAGUCAGGGGUGAAAUCCCGGGGCUCAACCUCGGAACUGCCUUUGAUACUGUUGGUCUCGAGUCCGGAAGAGGUGAGUGGAAUUCCUAGUGUAGAGGUGAAAUUCGUAGAUAUUAGGAAGAACACCGGUGGCGAAGGCGGCUCACUGGUCCGGUACUGACGCUGAGGGGCGAAAGCGUGGGGAGCAAACA
rnacentral:rRNA from 1 species